CCCUUAGAUGUUCUGGGCCGCACGCGUGCUACACUGAGUGGAUCAGCGGGUCAGGUUGCGCGAAAGCGUUUCCUAAUCUUUAAAUCCGCUCGUGAUGGGGAUUGACGGUUGCAAUUUUCUGUCAUGAACGAGGAAUACCUUGUAAGCGCGGGUCAUCAUCCCGCGCUGAAUACGUCUCUGCCCUUUGUACACACCGCCCGUCGCUCCUACCGAUUGAGUGGUCCGGUGAGGCUUUGGGAUCUGAGCGGAAAGAGCGUUUCGCUGUUUCUGCUCGGAAAACUCAGUCGAACCUUAUCAUUUAGAGGAAGGAGAAGUCGUAACA
rnacentral:rRNA from 1 species